ACUGGCUUUGGGCUGAUGGCACUCAGCUUGAUGAGAAGAUUUCAGUUUUCAGACAAUACCAAGAGUAUCAUUGUGCUGUGUAUGGAAGUGGUGUAUACGCACAGUCGUGUAACACAGGUCAUCGCUGGAUCUGUGAGCAGGAUGCUGUGCGCUUCUGAGUGAAUCCACAGACUCUUCACUUGAGGAACAGAGAAGAUCUCAUUGCAGAGCCUGAGUGUGAAUGUUAUGAAUCCGCUGAGCAACUCGCUGCACUUCUACAGCUCCAUUGAAGAGGAAAAACAGAAAAUUAGCAGCAGGGUUUAGAACAGGGUUUCCUUUUUAAAGAGCGAUUCAAGACCUAACCGCUGUGUAAAUGGUGCUUUUUUUUAGAUUUCAGAAUAUGUACAUUUCUUUACACUAUAUUUGAGUGUUUAAAUUAAUUGCUGUGACAAUUAAAAAUAUGCAAUCAGGAUGGAGUUUGCUUUCCAUGCAAUGUGAAUUCACCCCAUACCCUGUUCACAGUUUAGUUGUUGUCUUGCUCUAUUGAUUUAUAUUUGAUGUUAUUUCUAGCAGUGUAUGGAUGAGAAACCAUUUCAUUUUAUAUAUUGACCAGACAAGUGCUGUCCUAUUACUAGUUAGUUUACCAGUACUAGUGUUACUAGUUUAGUGAUGCUACAGCUUUUCCAGUUUGCUUUGCAUCGAAUGCUGAUUCUGUUUUUAAAUGUUAAGCAUGUUAAUGGCUUAUUUUUGUAAUGCUCGUCUCAGAUCUUCCUGUAGUAAAAUACCUUGUGGAGA